GGGAUGAACGCUAGCGGCAGGCUUAAUACAUGCAAGUCGAGGGGCAGCAGCUUUAUAGCAAUAUAGAGGCUGGCGACCGGCAAACGGGUGCGGAACACGUACACAACCUUCCUUGAAUAGGGGGAUAGCCCAUAGAAAUGUGGAUUAAUACCCCGUAAUAUAGCGGUGUGGCAUCACACUGUUAUUAUAGUUUCGGCGAUUCGAGAUGGGUGUGCGGCUGAUUAGGUAGUUGGCGGGGUAAAGGCCCACCAAGCCUUCGAUCAGUAGCUGAUGUGAGAGCAUGAUCAGCCACACGGGCACUGAGACACGGGCCCGACUCCUACGGGAGGCAGCAGUAAGGAAUAUUGGUCAAUGGACGCAAGUCUGAACCAGCCAUGCCGCGUGAAGGAUGAAGGUCCUCUGGAUUGUAAACUUCUUUUAAGUAGGGGACGUAAAAAGGUCUUUACUAGUAUCUACUUGACAGUACCCUAUAGUAAUAAGCACCGCUAACUCCGCGACCG
rnacentral:rRNA from 1 species